rnacentral:lncRNA from 1 species
GCUCAUUGUCAAUCUAGCAUGAAGCUCCUUUUCUUUUGUUGGACUAGACGAUGCUCAGGAUCGACAUUCAAUCUGUGAACAAAAAUGUUAGGAGAGAUACCUGACAUGUCGAAAACCAACCAAAGGAAGAUGUCUGUAUUGGCUUGUAGAAACUAUAGUAGACAAGCUCGCAAUUUGGUUGGCAGCAUCGUCUCAAUCUGGAUUGUCCUACUUGGAUCCUCUUCUCUGAGUGGUAUGGACCCCAGUUGUUCUGCAGGUUCACAUCGGGCCUCCUUGAGUUCCUUUUGAUGGUCAAGGCUCUCGAUCGGCAGAGACUCCAUGGGCUUUUUUUCUUUUACCAAGGCCAUGAAGCGUUGACGGGCCAUCAUUUGAUCUCCCUAGAUUUUGCCG